GUCCCGUGCGGGCACUCAUUCUCGUAGUAGGUAGGCGCAUCGGCAACGUGGGGUGAAACCCGCGGACGAGCUGGUGCGCCGAAAACAGGUCCCGAACGGGGCCUUUUUUAUUGCCUUUU
rnacentral:sRNA from 1 species